CCUACGGGGUGCAGCAGUGGGGAAUAUUGGACAAUGGGGGAAACCCUUAUCCAGCGACGCCGCGUGAGGGAAGAAGGUUUUCGGAUUGUAAACCUCUUUUGUCAGGGAGCAAAGGGCGCCACGUGUGGCGUUUUGCGAGUACCUGAAGAAAAAGCAUCGGCUAACUCCGUGCCAGCAGCCGCGGUAAUACGGAGGAUGCGAGCGUUAUCCGGAUUUAUUGGGUUUAAAGGGUGCGCAGGCGGAAUGUCAAGUCAGCGGUAAAAUUUCGGGGCUCAACCCCGUCGUGCCGUUGAAACUGGCGUUCUUGAGUGAGCGAGAAGUAUGCGGAAUGCGUGGUGUAGCGGUGAAAUGCAUAGAUAUCACGCAGAACUCCGAUUGCGAAGGCAGCAUACCGGCGCUCAACUGACGCUCAUGCACGAAAGCGUGGGUAUCGAACAGGAUUAGAUACCCGUAGUC
rnacentral:rRNA from 1 species